GAAGCAACUAAUGGGCAACUACGCCAAGAAUCUAUCUGUAGAAAGAAUGGAAGUCUAUCCGCAAACACAACCAGACCAGCAGUAGCUUGCAGCACUAUCAAGUCGCCGACCCCCAAAACCUCUACUUUUUCUACGGGAUCGUCGACAGGAGAAGCGGAGACUAGAUUAGAACUGCUAAGGAGGCAGGAGAAAUUUACUGGUCUUUUAUCAUAGAUGGGUAGGCUUUUUCUGGUGAAUCUUGAAGGCAAGUGCUAUAGCUGCAAGCACUGUCAGGCUCAUCUGGCCCUCAGUGAAGACAUCGUCUCCAAGGAUCACUCAGGUGAGAUGAAGAGCUCCAUCGGGAUAUUUUGGGAAGGGCAGCUGAAUGGUGUACUUAUUUUUUAUGUUUUGAGUGCGGACAAGUGUUUUAUUUGUGCUGACGGCUAUCAUUGGAUAGAACUGCAAUUGGAAAAACUAAGUGGCUUGGUU